AGUACCGGGCACUGUGUGGCGUGCUUAUGCGCUCUGGCUCAUUGCACCCUCUCAGCAAGCCCGACAGUAGAGGCUGCUUUAAAUUCCUACUUUAUAGGUAAGGAGAAGGGGGGCGCAGAGAGAUAAGAACUGUCCCCUUGCUGCAGUCAGGCUUCCAGCCUCAGCCCCUUGCCUUGAAAAGGACUGAACCAAUCCCAUCCUCUUUUUUCUUUUUUUAAAGGAAUGUGGUGACAAGGAGCCCACACAGACCUCAACUUCCACCAGCCUGAAAAUGAUGCUCCCAAUUCUGCCCUUCAAACCUGUUUGUCUUGGAUUUCUUAUUUGUUUUUAUUUUAUUUCAUUAUUUUAUUUAAUGUUUUGAGACAAAGGUCACUCUGUUGCCCAGGCUGGAAUGCAGGGGCGCCAUUAUAGCUCACUGUAGCCUCUAUCACCCCAGCUCAAGUGAUCCUUCUACCUCAGCCUCCUGAGGAGCUGGGUCUAUAGGUGCAUGCCACCACACCUGGCUAAUUUUUUAAUUAUUUGUAGAGAUGAAGUCUCAUUACGUUGCCCAGGCUGAUCUUGAACUCCUGAGCUCAAGCAAUCCUCCUGCCUGGGCCUUCUAAUGUGCUGGGAUUACAGGCAUGAGCCACGGCGCUUGGCCUUGAAUUUCUAAUGUCACUGAAUCACUGAAUCAGAAAUUUAGAAAGGGGUCCAAACUGCCCACUGCCUCUGGACUGUUCUCCUGGCAGCCUAGGAAGUGUAGGCUCUUCCUGCCUGUAGCUCCAACCAGGCCAGGCCAGCCUAGUCCCCUCCAGAUUGUUCUGGAUAUAGGAGGUGACCCUGCAUCUUGACUGCCUGCCUCAGAGGUCUCAAAAAUUUUGCCCUCAGGACCCCUUUAUGAUCUGAAAAAUUAUUGAGAACUCCAAAAAGCUUCUGUUUCUGUGAGUUAUGGCUGUUAAUAGUUACUGUAUUAGAAAUUAAAACUGAGAAAAUAAAAAACCAUUAUUUUAAAACAAUAGUAAACCCAUGACAUGUUCACAGAAACAGUUUUAUAAAAAAUAACUGUAUUUUCCAAAACCAAACAUAACUAGAAUAGUGACAUUGGUUCACAUUUUUGCAAAUCUCUUUAGUGUCUGCUUUAAUGAAAGCCAGCUGGCUUUUUCUGCUUCUGCAUCCAAUCUGUCAUGAUACCACUGUAGCUUCUGGAAAACUCCACUAGUGGCCCUGGAGGGAGAGAGCGUGAAAGAGGCAAAUAAUAUCUUAGUAUAUUAGGACAAUAGUUGUGACUUUAGAAACCCCUGUAAGGGUCUGAGACUUUUGGGAAGUCUCCAGACCAAGUCUUGGACUGCUUGAUUUUCAUUUCCAAUUCAUAUUCUGCCAAACAUUACUGCUUUGUGCUCACUCAUCUAAAUAAAGCUUGUAAGGGUCCUGGACAUCAAACAGUAAAAUAGGUAACUCCCUAAACCAAAUAAAAUGGAGCCAUUUGAAAAAUAUUUUCUUCUUAUUUCAAUUCAGUAUCUUCCUAACUACAAUAAAAUCAGAAAAUUGUGAAUACCUAUGAGCUUGUAUACCCAAAGACACUCAUCAGUACCAAUGUGAGUAUAUGAAACUGACAAUAUACCAGGGCAAGAGAGUCCCUGCCUAUGGUAGGCAGAAAAAUUCCCCUGCCUCCAAGAUGCUCACAUCUGAAUUUCUGGAACCUGUGAAUAUGUUGCCUUACACAGCAAAAGGGAAUUAGUAGUUAUGUCAACAUUAAGAAUCUUAAAAUGGAGUGAGCAUCCUGGGUUAUCCAGGUGGGCCCAGUAAUAGUCAUGUUUAUCAUUAAAAGAAAGGAGACCCUUUCUCACCUGUGGUCAGAGGGAAAUAUGACUAUGGAAGGAAGGGUGGUCAGAGAGAUGCAAUGAUGCUGGCUUUGGGGAUUCAAGAAGGAACCACAAGCCAAGGAAUGUGAAUGCCCUCUAGAAGAUGCAUCAGGCGAAUUAGUGGAUUGUUCCCUGGAGCCUCCAGAAAGGAAUGCACCUUGCCAACACCUUGAUUUUAGCCCCGUGAGAACUUGUUGGCCUUCUGACUUCCAGAACUGUAAGAUAAUACAUUUCUGUUGUUUUAAGCCAUUACGUUUGAGUUAAUUUGUUACAUCAGCCAUAGGAAACUAACACACUGCUUCUGCCUUCUCUUUCCUCCACUAGAAUUUGGGGUGUCCCAGGCUGUGCAGGGCAGGCCAACAGAGAAGUCCAGGGGGGCUAACGGAAAUGAGGAGUUCAAGUAUACAGCCUCUCUAAUCAAUGAGCUGAGACCCCUGUCUAUUGUCCUUAAACAAGGCUACAUCAAGGUCUGGGUAUCCCCAGACGAUACCCAUUACCCUAUACCUAGGAAGAGGAAAGUGUACAUUGACACGUCGGAAGCUCUUGCUCAAAACCUGUUUGGAGAGUGCUGGCUUGCUUUCUUAUGAAGUGUAUUAGUCUGUUCUCCUAUGGCUAUAAAGAAAUACCUGAGACUGGGUAAUUUAUAAAUAAAAGAUGUUUAAUUGACUCACAGUUCCUCAGGCUGUACAGGAAACAUGAUGCUGGCAUCUGUGUGGCUUCUGGGGAGACCUCAGGAAACUUACAAUUAUGGCAGAAGAUAAAGAGUGAGCAGGCAUGUCACAAGACCAGAGCAGGAGCAAAAGAGUGAGGGAGGAGGUGACACACUUUUAAACAACCAGAUCUCACAAGCACUCACUCACUAUCUCGAGGACAAUACCAAGGCGGUGGUGCUAAGUCAUUCAUAAGAAAUCCGCCCCAUCAUCCAAUCACCUCCCACCAGGCCCCACCUCCAACACUGGGGAUUACAUUUCAAUAUGAGAUUUGGGCAGAGACCCUCGAUGUCUUAAGUGAAAUAAGAGAAUAAUGAUUGUGUUAUAUUGUGGACAGACAUGUUCUGCCUGGGGAAAGAAAUAACAGGACAAUCCACUUUCUUCCUGAUUGUCACCACAUGAAAUAGUUACCUGGUUGAUCCCACAGAGCUUGGCCAUGGACCAUACACAAAAUAUGACUUCCUGAUAGCUCGGGGCCCAGGACUUUUCCAAACUUCCAAGAACACCACUCUCAGUGGAAGGCUCGAAGCAGUGCAGGUAAGAGUUGAACAUUACUUGGCAAUGUAUUUGAUGGGCAAGAAAGGCACGCUAGGUGUCUGCUUAGGUAUCCUGAAAUUUCUGAAGUUUAUUUUUUAAUUUAAAAAAAAUUUUUUUUUAGAGAGGGUGUCACUAGGUCACCUAGGCUGGAACACAGUGGCAUGAUCUUCGCUCACUGCAGCCUCAGCGUGACCUCAGGUGAUCCUCUCGUCUUAGCCUCCCAAGUAGCUGGAACUACAGGCAUAGGCCACCACACCCAGCUAAUUUUUUGUGAUUUUUGUAUAUACAGGAUUUUGCCAUGUUGCCAAGGCUGGUCUCAAACUUCUGCACUCAAGCAUUCUACCUGACUCAGCCUCCUAAAGUGAGUUUCUAAAGCUUUACAAUGAAAAAAAAAAUCAAAGUCCUGGCUUGCCAAGUGAGGGGAGCCAUCUCUACUUUGAUGGACACUGAGACAUCAGAGAGGUAGCACCUCCCCACCCGGAGGUCCCAGUCAAGGAGACCUGCCUGUCACAAUGAAGCCUAAGAAAUAAAAAUUAAAUUCUAAGCCCCCACAACUGACUGAAUGAACCAUCUCUUGGGCAAGGAGACCCCAACCUUGAAAACUGAGUUCUCAGGUAUGACAGUAUAGGAGGUUGAACACACCACCUUAUACCUCCUUCCUCAUAAGCCACCAUGAGCCUUUCUUCCCUAAGGGCUAAACAGAAACCAGCCCUUUCAAAAGACCUCACCACUACUGUCAACUAACUGCCUGAUGCUGCUCCUCCUUUUUUGCCUAAUAAGAGACUACUGACCAGGGAGUGGUUCCAACCAGUCUAAUGGGAGAAUGCCUAUUAAGGGUUUGUGUGUCCUCUGCUUCACCUUUGGGCAUCAGAUGGCCCAAAACUCCACCCUCAGAUCAUGCUAACACUGCCAUUUUUUUGUGCAUGGGACUCCAGAAGUGGCAUGAAGUUCAAUCGUGUAUAUUUCUCCUUUUGUAAAUAUUCAUGACUCCUCCUAUAGCUUAUAGAAUAUAUAUAUUCAGCUACCAUGCUCAGCAUAAAUUCCUGUUCCCCUUGCCUCUCCCCUAAGGUUUUUGUUGUUGGCUUUUGGCCAGACUCUGCUUCCUAGCCUAUCAGAAUGGUCACCCUGCAGGCGGCAGUGGUUUAUGAGAAAUAAAGCUCUCCUUUCCAGAUUUAUGAACCUUCACAUUCUUCAGUUGACAGGCCAUAUGGACUCUAUCACCACCUCUGACUGGCAGGUUCAGACCUACCCCAAGAUGCCUUGGGACUUGGCUUGCAUGUCUCGUUCAGCAUAAGGUCCUCUGCUCCUCGGGUACCUGGUCUGAAGACCCUCUGGGUACAGCUUCCGCAGAGCAAAAAGUGCCUCUGCCAUCGGACCAUGCUUUCACAUCUUACCUGCCUUCUCUGCAACUUCAGUGCCCCUGCCCUCAGCAGAGGGGACAAAACAAGCAGAGUCAGUUCAUCAUCUGAGAACAUGCUCCAUUCUGGAACCUUUUCUUAAAUAUCUCAUCUGUGUCAGGUGCUGUGUUCAGGCUUAGGGAAACACAGGUGAAUAAAACACCAUCUCCAACACAGACUCACAGGAUUGUAAGAUUAACAAGGGACCCCAGCAGUCAAUCUGCAAUUCACUAAACUUUAAGGAGCACUUACUAAGAUCCAGGCAUUAGGUAUAUGGAGGUAAAGCAGACAUUUCUAUGCCCUUCAGGAGCUCACAGCUAAAUCAAUGCAUGCAGGGAACUGUGGCAGCUGUAAAAAAGGCAGAAGAGCAGUUGGGGACUCAGAAGGAAGUGACUGCCCAA
rnacentral:lncRNA from 1 species